CCCCGGCCUCAGAGCGCCGCCUCCGGCACGGCCCGCGCCCGCAGCCGUGCCACGCGCGGGCUCCCGCCCGGGUCACACGACGUGGUCGCGCGCCCCCGCCGCUCGUCCUAGGCAUCCUAAGCGUCUGUUUGGCGAGAAGGCGGCGCCGCGGCCUUGCAGGCUGAGCUGCGGCGACAGGCAAGGAGGCAGGGAGUCCGGGCCCGGCCGCGAGGACAGCGUCUGGGGCGCGCGAAAGUGACCGCGCAGCGCAAGCAGAGGCGCGGGCUCCACGCGAACUCGUGUGGGAGCGAACGCCGGGCGCGCGCGGUUCCGCUCUCCUUGGGGACCCUUGGCUUCACCUCGACGCCGCGACCUCGCCGCCCCGGGUGCUGCCCGCGCCGAGUUGCAGCGCCCCGGCCCCAGCCCACCCGGAAUUUGAGGCCCGAACGCCACCCGGGGCGCCUCCUUCAUGCCGGGGCGUCUCGCCCGCCGCUCGCGGGCUUCCCUCUUUCUUCCACCUCCGCUCUCCCGCGGAGGUUAUUUUUAACUUCCCAACGCUGCAGCUGGGCCACCGAGCCCGAGGCCGCCUAGCGCGCUUUCCCGGGCAGAGCAGGCGACCGGCCGGAGGCUCCGAGUCGGAGAGGAGCCGUGACAGUGCAGAUGGGCCCAAGGGCUCCCGUCGGGAUAGGAAAGCCGAGCAUGGAGGCGUGUCCCCCGCCCCUUCUAGCUCCUCGUGAAGAAGGGGCACCGGAAACGCGCUCAGAAGUUGUCACCUCCUUGGAGGCCAGUGAGGACGCGUUUGUCCGUGUGUUUGUGAUACACUUAGCGCGCGCGGCAAGCCACAGAACGUGUCCGCGAGCACCUCGAAUUAGGAAGAAGUUGCCAAGGCCCAUUGGUGACCUGCCCAGGUAGGAUGAGAGUUAGGAGAAACGAAGUCCCUGCGCGAGGCUGCGGGGCUCGCCCGGCCCUGCCAGCCCCACCCGCCCCCACACACCUCUCUCAGGGCUUCUUAAAGUCGAGAAGGGGCAGGUCCGGGAGGAGCGCGCAGCCAAUUAGCCGGGCAGCGCCCUGAACUCGGGCACGCCUUCUUGGUGUCUUCUCUUCGGGAGGACCCAGGCGGCUCGGCCCGGUUUUCCAACAGCUGGGAGGCCAGACACGCGGGACCCGGGAUUCCCCGGGCGGGGCGGGGGCACAGACAGGGAUGCGGGGUCCCUGGGGCCGCAGCUGCGCGCGCGUCUCGGCGAGUGCGCCUUCGCCCUGCUGGGACUCCCAGCGGUCCCCACUGGGUCCGGAGCGUCCCGAGCGCGUUCGGGGAGGUGACUCAACGACGCGCUCACGGGUCGAAGAACUCCGAGAAACAGGAACGAGGGGAGGGAGCACGGGCGUCAUCCCCGAUUCCUGGCGUUGCGGCGCGCGUCCGCUAAGGUCGGGUCCUGCACCUCCGGGCCCCCCGCCCCCUCCCCUCAGGAAUGCGGCGCGGGCGGGGGAGGAAGCGCUGCAGCCGCAGUGCCGCGGUCUUGCGCUGCGGGGACGCGAGCGGCUGCGGGAGAAGGAGGCUCUGCGCGGCAGCCCAGGACCAGAUCGGUCCGCUCCUUUCCUCUCCUCUUCCUUUCCCCCUCCUCCCUCCAACGAGGAUAGGGUCCAGAUCUGGACUUUGGUGCGCAGAAGAUGGCGAGUCGGGGGCAGUGCUCCCCGAAAUCUCAGCCUCGGAGGGGACUGGCUGCGGAGACCAGCUGGGGCAGCCUUCCCCUUCUACUGCCCGCUCCGGAGAGCAUUUCCACCACGUCUGAAAAGCUCCGUCGUUAGCCAGUCUGAAGAGGGGAAACUGAGGCACAGGGAAGCCCUGUGAGUUCGUAGUGAUAAAGCCCACCUGGUCCCCCUUUUAUUUUUCCUCCUGGAGCCCCAGAAAGGUCGGCUCCUGUGGCUCCAGGCCCACUGCCACCAGCCCUGAAUCCAUGGAGCGGGCGGGGGCGAGGCUGACUGGAAGCUGAGUUGGCGAAGGGGGGCGGGGCAGCAUGCUGGGCUCUUUAUCCUGCAGCCUCUGGGCCCCAGCUCCCCUCCUAGCUCUGGAAGGCCCCCCCACCCCGCGGGAGGGAGGCGGAGGGCAAAGCCCUCUGGCCCGGGUUCCAGGCCGCACAAUGGCUCCUCUGUCCUCGCUGGCGCCUAACCCCUCGCCCCCUCACCUCCAAGGCCUCUGCCCCCCUCAUUCCUGUCAAUCGCCUCCCCUAACCCAGGCCGCCUUUCUCCAGACCCUUUCCUCUUCUCCCCCGCCCCUUUUUUUUUCUUACUCGCAUUCCCUCUGGAAUGUCCAGAUCUAGCUCCUUCCUCUUCUUUUCUAAAGAACUUGAUCCUAUCUCCAGAAACGCCCCAACUGCAUCCCCGCUCGGAGAGGCGGGAUUGGGCGAAGCCGGAUGCUGUUCCCCUCCCCACAGUUGCGGGGAGUGGUGGGGGGGGCUUGGAUAUCUCAGGUCGCCAGCUUGGCCCGCUGCCCACGGUACUUUACUUCCUUUUUUAAAAAAGAAAAAAGGACAAAGCGGGGAGCGGGUGGGGGAACCGAAACCCUGAGAGGUGAAGAGUCUUGCACAAGCCUCCAGCCAGUUCCCUGCAAAGCAGAGAAGCAAACCUUUGAGCCCUAACCCCAGGCUGGGAAGCCAAGUCCAGCCAGAGCUCCCCUCUGGGCCUCUCGGUUACCCAAGCUGCUUCUCCCUGAAGGGUGGGGAUCUGGUGGCCCGGUGGAUUGCUUGCUGCAGAGCUGUGGGGUCUCCCUAAGAAAGAGGAAGCAGCUCCAAGCCUUCCCCAGGCUUCAUCCUGAACCUGGAGGAUGAGCUUGGAAACAGGUGGGCAGUCACUGUGCCCAGCAAAGCCCAACCUGGGCCUGGCAACAGGGCUGGGCCAGCAGAGAGGUGAUCACCAACCCAGAGCUUGGCUCACAGGUCAUCUGUCUUACAGAGAAAGAAAAGCAGGCAUUCACCCCGACCAGCCCCAGCUCUCCAAAAACUGGAAUCAAAGCUGCCAGAUGGCAAAUUACUUGCUUUUAUGAGGAGAAGAUUCCUGUCAUCUCACCCUUCCCUGAAGCUACCUUCCCUAGCAGAUUUCAGCUCCCUAAUUGGAUGGCCUCAAGGCCUCCCUUGACCUCAACUUCCUUCCUUUUUUUUUGUUUGUUAUGUAGUCUCUGUUGCCCA